CAGCAGCCGCGGUAAUACGGAGGGGGCUAGCGUUGUUCGGAAUUACUGGGCGUAAAGCGCACGUAGGCGGCUUUUUAAGUCAGAGGUGAAAGCCCGGAGCUCAACUCCGGAACUGCCUUUGAGACUGGAAGGCUUGAACGUCGGAGAGGUGAGUGGAAUUCCGAGUGUAGAGGUGAAAUUCGUAGAUAUUCGGAAGAACACCAGUGGCGAAGGCGGCUCACUGGACGACUGUUGACGCUGAGGUGCGAAAGCGUGGGGAGCAAACAGGAUUAGAUACCCCAGUAGUCCCUGUCUCUUAUAC
rnacentral:rRNA from 1 species